CGCCUGUUUAUCAAAAACAUCUUUUCCUGUUGGUUUCUGAAGUAUGGCCUGCCCGCUGACGUAUUUUGAGUUGAAGGGCCGCGGUAUAUUGACCGUGCAAAGGUAGCAUAGUCAUUAGUUCUUUAAUUGUGAUCUGGUAUGAAUGGCUUGACGAGACAUGGGCUGUCUUGGGUGUAGAAUUUGUUGUUGAAUUUUGAGUUUAAGUUAAAAUUCUUAGAUGUUUUUAUGGGACGAGAAGACCCUAUAGAGUUUAACAUUUUAUUGCGUAUUUCUUGUUGUUUGUUUUAAAUUUUUACGUGUCUCUUGUUUUGUUGGGGUGAUGGGAGGAAUUUAUUUAACUCCUCUUUUUGUGUGGUAUAUCGAUGUAUAUAUUAUAUUGAUCCAUUUAUUUUGAUUGUAAGAUUAAAUUACCUUAGGGAUAACAGCGUAA
rnacentral:rRNA from 2 species